CCUACGGGUGGCUGCAGUGAGGAAUAUUGGUCAAUGGGCGCGAGCCUGAACCAGCCAAGUAGCGUGAAGGAUGACUGCCCUACGGGUUGUAAACUUCUUUUAUAAGGGAAUAAAGUGAGGCACGUGUGCCUUUUUGUAUGUACUUUAUGAAUAAGGAUCGGCUAACUCCGUGCCAGCAGCCGCGGUAAUACGGAGGAUCCGAGCGUUAUCCGGAUUUAUUGGGUUUAAAGGGAGCGUAGGUGGGUUGUUAAGUCAGUUGUGAAAGUUUGCGGCUCAACCGUAAAAUUGCAUGUGAUACUGGCAGGCUUGAGUGCAGUUGAGGUAGGCGGAAUUCGUGGUGUAGCGGCGAAAUGCUUAGAGAUCACGAAGAACUCCGAUUGCGAAGGCAGCUUACUAAACUGCCACUGACGUUGAGGCUCGAAAGUGUGGGUAUCAAACAGGAUUAGAUACCCUGGUAGUC
rnacentral:rRNA from 1 species